rnacentral:rRNA from 1 species
UGUAAGCGUAUACCAAAGUUGUUGCAGUUAAAACGCUCGUAGUCGGAAUUUGGCAGUUCCGGAUGUGUGCACGUCGUGUGCGCACUUCGCGGGGAUUGCUUUUGUGGUCUUGCGUAGGAUGAGGCACUUUUAUUAGUGAACGUCCUCACGCAACCACUUUUUACUGUGAGAAAAUCAGAGUGCUCAAAGCAGGCAUUUGCCGUGAAUGUAUUAGCAUGGAAUAAUAGAAUAGGACUUGGUUCUAUUUUGUUGGUUUGUUGGGACUGAGUAAUGAUUAAGAGGGACAGUUGGGGGCAUUUGUAUUUCGGCGCUAGAGGCGAAAUUCUUAGAUUGCCGAAAGACAAACUGCUGCGAAAGCGUCUGCCAAGGAUGUUUUCAUUGA